UACGAGGGGGGCAAAUGUUGUUCGGAAUCACUGGGCGUAAAGGGCGCGUAGGCGGUUCGUUAAGUCCUGUGUGAAAUCCCCCGGCUCAACUGGGGAACUGCACAGGAAACUAGCGGGCUUGAGUUCGGGAGAGGGAAGCGGAAUUCCGGGUGUAGCGGUGAAAUGCGUAGAUAUCCGGAGGAACACCGGUGGCGAAGGCGGCUUCCUGGACCGACACUGACGCUGAGGCGCGAAAGCUAGGGGAGCAAACGGG
rnacentral:rRNA from 1 species